UACGUAGGGAGCAAGCGUUGUCCGGAAUCAUUGGGCGUAAAGCGCGCGUAGGUGGCUUCGUAAGUCCGCUGUGAAAGUCAAAGGCUCAACCUUUGAAAGCCCGGUGGAUACUGUGAAGCUGAGAGUCCGGAAGAGGCGAGUGAAUUCCUGGUGUAGCGGUGGAAUGCGCAGAUAUCAGAGGACACCAUAGCGAAGGCAGACUCGCUGGACGGUACUGACACUGAGGCGCGAAGCGUGGGGAGCGAACAGAUAGA
rnacentral:rRNA from 1 species